UCCGGUUUGUCACCGGCAGUCUCUGCAGAGUCCUCGCCUCUACGCGUUAGCAACAGCAGAUAAGGGUUGCGCUCGUUGCGGGACUUAACCCAACACCACACGACACGAGCUGACGACAGCCAUGCAGCACCUGUCUACGAACUCCGAAGAGGGCCCCGGCUUUCACCGGGGUUUCUCGUAGAUGUCAAGCCCAGGUAAGGUUCUUCGCGUUGCUUCGAAUUAAACCACAUGCUCCGCUGCUUGUGCGGAGCAUGUUG
rnacentral:misc_RNA from 1 species